GGUUUGGUGGUCUAGUGGUAUGAUUCUCGCUUAGGGUAACACCCGAAGUUCCAGCAUCUAUGUCAUUAAUGAUAUGUGCACUUAUGCGAGAGGUCCCGGGUUCGAUCCCCGGCCAAACCC